CAAAUGGAGGAGGCCAGAGGAGCACAGCAAUGAGGUGGGUUGGCACCUGAAGCCCAAGCUCCAGCCUGACUUUCUUCAAUGCUUACCCCGUUGUUUGGCUCUUUGUUUCAUUAGAAGAUGCGAAGCGCUUGGUACGGCCAGGUGGUCUGAAGCAUUCCAACCGCUGGUCCAAUAUGACAGAGGCCCUUGCGGAAAGAGGUCACGGUCAAGCGGUUUCAGAUGGAAACUAAUCCGGCAAUGCCAUGCUUUCGGACCCUAUGUCGGAAGUAAAGCCAGGUAUCACCAAUCAAUGUCAAAUGAGUGA